AUAUUAAAAGUUAAAUUUAUCAACAUUUAAUUUUGUAAAUUAAAAAAUAAUUUAAUAUU
rnacentral:tRNA from 1 species